AUGCAAGUCGAGCGCACAGAUAAGGAGCUUGCUCCUUUGACGUUAGCGGCGGACGGGUGAGUAACACGUGGGUAACCUACCUAUAAGACUGGGAUAACUUCGGGAAACCGGAGCUAAUACCGGAUAACAUUUGGAACCGCAUGGUUCUAAAGUGAAAGAUGGUUUUGCUAUCACUUAUAGAUGGACCCGCGCCGUAUUAGCUAGUUGGUAAGGUAACGGCUUACCAAGGCGACGAUACGUAGCCCACCUGAGAGGGUGAUCGGCCACACUGGAACUGAGACACGGUCCAGACUCCUACGGGAGGCAGCAGAGGGAAUCUUCCGCAAUGGGCGAAAGCCUGACGGAGCAACGCCGCGUGAGUGAUGAAGGGUUUCGGCUCGUAAAACUCUGUUAUUAGGGAAGAACAAAUGUGUAAGUAACUGUGCACGUCUUGACGGUACCUAAUCAGAAAGCCACGGCUAACUACGUGCCAGCAGCCGCGGUAAUACGUAGGUGGCAAGCGUUAUCCGGAAUUAUUGGGCGUAAAGCGCGCGUAGGCGGUUUCUUAAGUCUGAUGUGAAAGCCCACGGCUCAACCGUGGAGGGUCAUUGGAAACUGGGAAACUUGAGUGCAGAAGAGGAAAGUGGAAUUCCAUGUGUAGCGGUGAAAUGCGCACAGAUAUGGAGGAACACCAGUGGCGAAGGCGACUUUCUGGUCUGUAACUGACGCUGAUGUGCGAAAGCGUGGGGAUCAAACAGGAUUAGAUACCCUGGUAGUCCACGCCGUAAACGAUGAGUGCUAAGUGUUAGGGGGUUUCCGCCCCUUAGUGCUGCACCUAACGCAAUAAGCACUCCGCCUGG
rnacentral:rRNA from 1 species